ACCAAUUCAUGGGGAUGAAAAAGGUUUCUCAUGGUAUAAUGGCUUGGACGCCAUAUAUAAUUUCAUAAUGUGGUUAUCCUGAUACAUGGCUUCUUUUUCAAUGCCAUGAUAUCCUGGAAACGCCACAUAUAUCU